GAUGAAGAACGUAGCAAAAUGCGAUAAGUAAUGUGAAUUGCAGAAUUCAGUGAAUCAUCGAAUCUUUGAACGCACAUUGCGCCCGCCAGUAUUCUGGCGGGCAUGCCUGUUCGAGCGUCAUUUCAACCCUCAAGCACAGCUUGGUGUUGGGACUCGCGUUAAUUCGCGUUCCUCAAAUUGAUUGGCGGUCACGUCGAGCUUCCAUAGCGUAGUAGUAAAACCCUCGUUACUGGUAAUCGUCGCGGCCACGCCGUUAAACCCCAACUUCUGAAUGUUGACCUCGGAUCAGGUAGGAAUACCCGCUGAACUUAAGCAUAUCAAUAGCGGAGA
rnacentral:misc_RNA from 1 species